GGGCGGCUUUCUCGGAACCGGCGGCGACGGCGGCGAUCCGAGUCGCGCUCCCCCAAGAGCGGGGCCGAUGGUGCGGCCCUGUCCGCGCCUGCGCGACCGGGGGAGCUGCCCGGAGCCGGCGCCGUCCGGGACCUGUCCGUGAGGGCGGUAACGGAAGAGGUCCGACAUCGAAAUUUACCCCGGGGCGCGCCCGGAGUACCUCGCCCGGAGCAGCCGUUAAAGACAGCCUUGCCAAAGCUCCGCGAUGCCUCUCUCCCGUCUCCGCUACCAGAAAGAACAAGCGCACCUCAUUUAAAAAAAAAAAAAAACAAAAAACUGAAAACCAGAACACCAAAACCCAAACUCUGGCGUGUUCAGCAUGGAGAAGAACGAGGGGAGACCUCAUCGCAUCCUACAACUUCCUCGUGAGGGGCAGGGCAGUGGAGGGGUAGCUCCGAUAUCUGCUCUCUGCGACCAGUGACAGGACCCGAGGGAACGGCUGGAGGUGUGUCAGGGGAGAUUUAGGCAAAUACAUCAGGAAAAGAUGCUUCCCCCGGAGGAUGGUUGGACACUAAACAGGCUCCCAGGGCAGUGGUCACGGUACCAAGGCUGCUAGAGCUCAAGGAGUGUUUAGACAGGGCUCUCAGGGACAGGGUGGGAUUGUUGGGAUGUGCUGUGCAGGAUUUGGAUUGGAUGAUACUAUGGCUCCCCUUCCACUCAGAAGAUUCUGUGAUUUCUGGAAAAAAACAACAGCAAAAACUAACUAAAUAAAACAAGCAAAAAACCCCAAAAAACCCCAACCAAACAAAAAAUAACCAAAAAACCCUUCAAUAACUUAAGGCUAAAAACAAACCAAUCACAGUCCCCAAAGACUUUUCUAACAAGGCCUGAGUAGUGGAGCUGUGUUUCCAGGGAAGAUGAGGGGUCUCCACCCCUGGAGAGAACUUUGCUGUGAAUCAUCUGAAGUGUACCCAGGGCUCUUCCAGUUGUGCAGGAGGAGACUCCACGUGUACUUGAAGAUCCCUUUAUCACAAAACUGGACAGAAGAGGAUGGAAACAUUAGAGAUGCAGUCAUUUGUUAUCAGCAGCGCCUUGGCAGUGCUGGUGUUGAAUGUUCUCUGUAAGCUGGAAAAGGACAAAAACCCUCUUGCCAACAGAGGCAUGUGAGCAAUACUGGCUGAGACAUCUUGGCACUUGAACAGCAUCAGUCUGCACUGGGUAGGAAGAAUUGAUCCAACAUGCCUCUGCAGAUCUUAUGCAGGAAUCUCCACUGAACCCAGCGCUUCAUUCCAGAUAUGGCUAAGGGAAGAAAGCGUCAUGCAAAGUGCAAGGCUGACACCUGGAGGGGCUGCAGGAGGCAGACAGAGAGCCUGGAGCAGCCACAUAUCCUGCAGCACAGCUGAGAGGGGAAAGCUCUGAGGGGGUGGCAGAUCCCAGGAUCUGAAAGUGUGUUUUCUGUCACCCCAUUUCCAACAAUAAAGAAAAAUACAGAUUUCUAUUUCAGAUUUUCCAUGCCUAUUUUUAGGACUAGAGAAGAAACACAGGAGCUGUGACUGUGUCACUUAAUUAUUCACUUCUUCCACACUCAGAAAUACACUUGGAUCAAAACUUAUCAUGGUCAGUAAGCUGCUACAAAUAAUACAGGGUUAUUUUUUUAGUUGUUUGGUCUAAUAUAUUUGAAUUGUCAUAUAUCAGACUUCCCACUGAUUUGCCAUUUGUUUAACUCUGUGUUGAGUUUCUGAAACACAGAGUUGCAGAGCAAGUCCUUCUGUCAAAGUUGCAGCUGGAAGAUUUGGCAUUAGGUGAAGUUUGUUCUUUUCACUGUCUGGUUCUGCCAGCAUCCAUGGUAAGGCUCUUCCUGAAGCUGAUCCUAAUCAAGGAAAGCAAGGUAGUUUGUGGGACAAAGUCUUCAUGCUUUUCAAAGCUGGCUUUCCAGCCUGGCAGACAUGCUUUCAUACAUAGCACUUGUUCAUAUCUUUUGAGUAAUCUCUCCUUGCUGCCAGGAAAUGUCUCAGUAUUAGCGAAUGCUUGUUUUGCUUGAUCUAAUUGUAGAAUAUGUUAAUAACUCAGUUAUUUACUGUUUUGGCAUUACCAUACAUUUAGUAGCUCACAGACCCAAAGAUUAGAUGUCCAUUACAUACCCUUUAUUCUCUUUGUCGUUUCCAGUGUGGUUCCAAUCAUAAUAUUUGCUUAUCAGUGAGUAGUUGCUUAUGGAAAUGGGAAAAAUAAACCAACAAAAAACAACAACCAACAGUUAUUUUCAGAACUCUUUUAUGCAGUUCUAUUGUCCCACCUGCAGUAUAGCUCCCCAAGUCUCUAUGCCUCUUCUCUGGUAUACCUUGAUACUGACUGAUGGCAUUUCUUUCCCUUCUAGCCUUCUGACUCCCAAAAUAUCAAUGAUGCUCAGUUCAUCCCAAUGAGCAUACUAAACCACUACAGACAUUCUCCACCCAGACUAGCCUAAAGGAUAUUGUCUGGACUCUCAUUCCUGCAAAACAGCUUGGCACCAGUAUGGGGAAAUGUCCCCAUUAAUACCUUCAAACCUGAGUGUGUUCCCAAAGAAAUCAGCAAAGUGACUCCCUCUGAAUCUUUGCAUUUCUCCAGAAAUAAAGUGUUCGACUUAAGGAUAACUUGCUGCCUUCCAGAGAAUUCAUCAUUUCCAGCUUGAAAAGAGAAAUCCAGGAAGCAUCAAUAAAUCUAUUUUGACAGUGGAGUAAAGAGCUGCAAAAUGGGUAACCUGUCAAGGUAACGUGACUUAAUUUCUUAGAGAAAGAUCCUUUUUUUAUAAAUGAAAUAAAAAUGCCAGCAAAGUGAAAUAGCAGGAAAUGUCACACUUGAUUGUCUCUCAGUAGGACAGAAAUUAAAUAAAAAGAAGGCAAGGUAAACGAGAGGGUUUUACAUUUAACGAGGGAAGUAAUAAAAUAAACUGAGAAUAAUAACAUCCACUGAAAAUCUAUGCACAGCAACCUGAGUAUGUCAAAGGGGUGUGUUCCCACAGAAACAGUCAUUUAACGUACACAUUUUUGUUUGAAGAAAAGGCAGGUUCUAUGCUGGGAGUGAAGGAUUCGUGGAGAUACUGUGAUCGGACAUACGGGGGCAGCCUUACCUGCAGGUUAUCACAGCCUUGCACCGCGGGGCCACUGCAGCCGUUGUGCUUUGGCCCCCCAUGGCAAGCUCUGGAGCUUUGCCCCUUUCUAAACAAGGAACCCAUGCAGACUUACCAGAUUUCCUUAUUCAAAGGGUGAACACUGUCUCUUUAAAUAAACACAGAGAUCUCAGUCCAAAUGGGAACUGAAGCCCAGGCUACCCUCGGUUAUGAAACCUCCCUUUCAGAGCUCACAGGCUCGGGGCCUGCUGCUACACUUCGAGGUUAAUAAUCAGUUUUAAUAUUCACUUAGGGGGCUGUAAAAAAAGAAUGAAAAUUUCCUAAUUUGAAAAUGGACUUGAUUGGCAGCUUUAUUAUCUCUAUAAGGUGCAUGGCAUUCCACACAAUCAAGUCAUUUUUUAAAAUAAUCUCACUGCUUAAGUCGUACAUGCUGCUAAUUGCAUUUUAAUAAGUCUCUUUAAAAUCUUUCCAUAUUUUUUAAUAUCCUAAUAUUAGAUAAGUGAUUGCUGGGGACACUGGAGGGCACUGAGGUUUAUAGAAAGAGGAACACCAUAAUGAAGCUUUAUUGGGAUGGCAUCACCAAACAAUUGCUGUGAUAGCAACACUCCCAAGCUUGGAGAAAUGCCAGCCAUUCCCCGCCUAGAACUGACACAGGCACAAGCCUCCCUGGCUCAGGACUGACAGAAAAUGGAUGCUUUCUGGAUCAUAAAAUGGCCUCUUUCCAUCUUGGAAAUGGCUGAGGAGCUGUCCACUUUGGAUUGGGAAAGGAUUUUUCUCCAUUGAACAGUGACUUUGAAACAUUUUUGUUUUGCUUGCUUCUGGCUUGAAAAU